CUCGGGAAGAUAUUUGUAAAUCUCGCGAUAACUACCGUUUUAAACGUCCUCUCAAAUGGCUACCAAAAAGUUAGCCUUACGUUAUGACAAAUUAGUGCCUGGUGCUGUUUAUGGCUGAUUUUUACGUUGCUGUUUAAUUGAACCGUAUUAUACGACACGUAUGCCUCGCAGGUUCGCUACGGAUAAACUCGUUAACUGCAGUAUGAUGUCGGUGGCUCUCAAGAGGAUCGUUAGCACACAAGUUACUGGCACGAGUCCUACCGAGGAUUCACAUUAGCAACGGUGCCAGCCACCUUAGCAACUGCAGAACACCCAGGGUUUUCCUCCAUUAAAGGAACGUUUUACCGCAUCAACGGGGAGAGCAAAUUCCUACAAUGAGACUGAAAACAUCGCUGCUAAAGGAACCCAAACAUAAAGAACUUGCCAGUUGUGUAGGUUGGACUACAGCAGAUGAGCUCUACUCCUGCAGUGAGGAUCAUCAGAUCCUCAAGUGGAACCUGCUCAAUAAUGAAACCAGCCUAGUCAUCCGGUUGCCGGAAGACAUCUAUCCCAUCGAACUACACUGGUUCCCCAAAACCAUCGGUGGCAAGAAACAGGUCCAGGCUGAGAUCUUUGUCCUUACCAGCACAGAUGGGAAGUUCCAUCUGGUCUCCAAGAUGGGACGCAUUGAGAAGAGUGUGGAAGCACACAAGGGAGCAGUCUUGGCUGGGAAAUGGAACUAUGAUGGGACUGCUCUUGUCACUGCUGGAGAAGAUGGUAAGAUUAAGAUCUGGUCCAAAAGUGGGAUGCAACGCUCUACUUUAGCUAAUGAAGGGUCUCCUGUCUACUCCGUGGCCUGGAGUCCAGACUCCGACAGAAUCCUCUACACAUCAGGACGGCAGCUAGUCGUCAAGCCUCUGCAGCCCAGCGCUAAAGUCACACAGUGGAAAGCUCAUGAUGGAAUUAUCCUAAAGGUGGACUGGAAUUCGGUCAGUGACCUCAUCUUAUCAGGUGGAGAAGACUGUAAAUUCAAGGUGUGGGACAGCUUUGGGCGUCUGCUACACUCAUCAGCCUGCCAUGAUUACCCGGUCACGUCCUUGUCCUGGGCUCCAGAUGGGGAGGUGUUCGCCAUGGGCUCCUUUAAUACCCUGCGGCUCUGUGACAAAACCGGAUGGUCCUAUGCGUUGGAGAAACCCAACACAGGCAGCGUGUUAAGCUUGGCCUGGUCUGCGGACGGCACCCAGCUGGCCGGGGCCUGCGGAAACGGACAUGUCAUCUUUGCCCAUGUGGUGGAGCAGCACUGGGAGUGGAAGAACUUUGUCAUCACACUCACCAAGAGGAGAAGCAUGGAGGUGAAGAAUGUGCUGAACGAUGCAGUUGACAUUUUGGAGUUUAGAGAUCGCAUCAUCAAAGUCUCGCUGGCCUACGAUCACCUGGUGGUCGCUACUUCCCUCCAGUGCUACGUCUACAACUCACGAAACUGGAAUACCCCUCUGAUCUUCGAUCUGAAGGAGGGAACGGUCAGCCUCAUCCUGCAAGCAGAGAAAUAUAUUUUACUGGUGGACGGGUCAGGGUUGUACACUUUCUCCUACGAUGGUCGAUUAAUAUCCUCCCCGAAGUUUCCUGGAAUGAGAGCCGACCUCUUAAAUGCUCAGAGUGUCUCACUUAGCAACGACACCGUCGCCAUCAGAGACCAGAAUGAGGAAAAAGUCAUCCUUUUUUUUGACAUCAUGAGUGGAAAAUCUGUUGGCGAUGGGAAACCCGUCACACACAAGUUGGAGGUGGUGGAGAUAGCUUUGGAUCAGUGUGGCCCAUCCAGUGAAAGAAAAAUAGCAUUUAUAGACAAGAACCGCGACCUUUACCUGACCUCUGUGCGUCACCUGAGGAAAGAACCCAAAGUCUGCAAAAUAGGGAGCAUGGUUCAUAGUAUGGCUUGGAAUGACUCUGCUAACAUCUUGUGUGGAAUCCAAGACCAUCAGUUUACAGUUUGGUACGACCCCGGCGUUGUCUUCACCGACAAGGAGCUUCUGUCAAAAAUACUUUACAUUAAAGACGGCAGUGAGUUUAGCCGUGCGCCUCACAUUCUGAGCUACGUCGGCACUAAAGUGACAUUACGCCAAGGAGAUGGUUCGCUGGUGUACAGCAGCGUGCCUGCAUAUCCCGCCAUCCUGCACGAGUACAGCGCCGCAGCACGCUGGGAGGAUGCGCUGCAUCUCUGCCGCUUUGCCAAAGUAAGACGUCUCAGCACCUCCUGGUGUGAGUUUAUAGAGUUUAGUUCUACUCGCCGUUGUGGAAGUAUUGCAUGUAAUCUGAGUACUUUUGUCCUGCAGUCGGAGGCUUCAACACUGUCCAGAUUCAUGUCACCCAGAUGUUUGGAUGCUUUGCAUGAGAGUGGGCAUGGUAAUGAGAAGGUAGUGGACAGGUUUAUGAGACCAGAACAGCCGGCUUGAAUUAGCCUUCAGUUAGCCUGGUGACAGCAUUCACUGGAUGAAUGUGAAGCCAGACGUUUAACUCAUUCUGAUCAAGACCUAAAACUCUCUGCAGCAGCAACCACAACAGGACAACAGUUAAUGAGGGAGGGGUGGAACGAGUGAGAUGGAGAGAGUCGCGGGUUUUAAGAGAUUUCUCCCUUGACCCCUCCCCCGCUGCUUCUGGUAAGAGUUCGGCGGCCGUGUGGUUUUUCCCAGAAACCCGGCUGUUGUCCGUAACCUCCCAUCGUACGUGAGCUGAUGCAGAUUAGUUUACAGCUCUGGUCAAAGACGCACAACGGGAGCUCUUACAGAUCCGUGGAUGGAUGGAUGUUUCCUAUUACAGCUGUUUGUCACCGCGACAGACGCUGAUUAAAGGAUGAGUUAGCCUUUAGCACAACUGUUGGACAUUUGUUGCUGACAUCUUUGUUUUGUUUUUUAUCGAUGCAGCUGUAGUAAUAAAGCGGUGACACGUGUUUACAUUGACUCGGGGCUAAUGCGGGUCUUUAACUGGCUUUGCAUGUAGAAUAAAACAUAACAAAGUAAAUAACUGUUAGCAAACUAAGCUAGGAUUUAAUUAGACAAGGACGAGCCCUACCUUAAUAGUUGAAUUCAUCCUUGUUUUAAUAUUAUCUGUAUUAGUUUCUCUGUUCUACUGACUUCACACACGUCACGUUUGUUUUUAUUUAAAAUAAGUUUGAAUCUUUUUUUUUUUCCUAGGAAUAUAAUUGGCAUUUCUGUUUUCUUCCCUCUCUCCUUGGGACUCGUUUCAGAGACGGACCUGAUUUAUCAGGUGUUUCUGUGAUGAAGCCGCAGGUCAGGUUUCCACCUGGUGUCUGUCUGGUUUAUUUACCCGUGGAAAGGAGCCCCGCCUAGACCUCCCUGCAGCUCAUUCAGACGAGCAGGAAUUAAAUGUCGUGUGCUUUCGGACAUAACAUUCAGUGUUAUUGCUGAUGAAGUUAAAAAAGUCUGUCACAAUUGUAUUAAUGAUGUUGUGAAAAUCCCGUCAGGUGAAAUCUUAAUCACAACUUAGCCGUUACUGCGCUUUAAUUUAAUGAAAUCCCGAAAGCAUAAAUGUUUGCUAGACGUUUUUGUUUUUGAAAUGAAAACUGCUAAUGCUGUCCCUCUGCUCCCCGUGUGGUUAGGAUCGGUGUCUGUGGGCGUGU